AUUGAACGCUGGCGGCAGGCCUAACACAUGCAAGUCGAACGAGUGGCGGACGGGUGAGUAAUGUCUGGGAAACUGCCUGAUGGAGGGGGCUAACUACUGGAAACGGUAGCUAAUACCGCAUACCAUCGGAUGUGCCCAGAGGGGAUUAGCUAGUAGGUGGGGUAAAGGGUCACCUAGGCGACGAUCCCUAGCUGGUCUGCGAGGAUGACAAGCCACACUGGAACGGAGACACGGUCCAGAGUCCUACGGGAGGCAGCAGUAGGGAAUAUUGCACAAUGGGCGCAAGCCUGAGGCAGCCAUGCCGAGUGUAUGAAGAAGGCCUGCGGGUUGUAAAGUACGUUCAGAGGGGAGGCGUUACCCGCAGAAGAAGCACCGGCUAACUCCGGGCCAGCAGCCGCGGUAAUUC
rnacentral:rRNA from 1 species